UGACUCCUUGCUGUCCCCAGUCCACCUGGCCGUGCUGCUGCUCCAGUUUCAACUGUUCUGCCUGUUAUUAUUAUUUGACCAUGCUGCGUAUCUCUCCACAGUGAUGGCAAAUAUGCACUUCAUGAACAGGAUUUGUUUCUUACCAUUGGACGUACCAGAGGUGAUAUGUGGUUGACUGACAAGCACCAUCCAUGUUGUCUCCGGGAAACACAUAAUCCUCGUAGGAAUAAAUGGUCGCUACAAUGUCACAGUGCCUGUGCUGACCUGCACAACCUGUCUUAGCACCUGGACCGCAAACUUGGCAGAUCUGAUAAAGAAUGGGUACUGGCCUGCCACUGUCAACUGUGACACCAUAUGCCAGGUAGAUCUGUUCAGCUCUUUUGAAGAGCUGAAAGUGUCAGCCCCAGGAAUGUCCCGUCUGGCGUUUAUGUGGAUUAUGGAGCAGUGAACUGACUUCUUUGGCAGGGUAACAAUAAAUGAUACUCAGCUUUACCAAUGUAUGACUUCAGGUUAACAAUAUGUUAAAGUUAUAUUACACAAAGCGUUGUAACAAAAUGUAUUUCCUGUACUACAACUAGGUUAAAACUGCAGGUCUCUUGCUACAGUGUGUGUUAACCUCCUGCACCACUGUCCUACCAUGCCCCUUAUCUGUGCCCCUCUUGCAUCCAAUAUAUCCUGCUCUUUACAACAUAAGUACUCAUCCUACUUUUGCAUUGGCUUUCACCUGCUUUGCUGUCAACACUAUACACUGGCCCUGCUUUAACUCAAAUCCAGUCAGCCAUAGUGAAUUAUAGUAUGUUUUGUUUAUAGUGUUGUUGUAAGUUAUUUCAUAUAUUUUCUAUAUGUAUUUUUCCCUUACCAGAAUGGAAUGAUCUGUGGGGAGACUUAUCAAGAAAGCUUAUUUGAGUGGACGUACUGCCGCUCUGAAAUUGAUCAGGUCUGUGAUGUACAGUACUUUGACUGCCCAGCCUGGUCUGUGAUGUACAGUACUUUGACUGCCCAGCCUGGUCUGUGAUGUACAGUACUUUGACUGCCCAGCCUGGUCUGUGAUGUACAGUACUUUGACUGCCCAGCCUGGUCUGUGAUGUACAGUGCUUUGACUGCCCAGCCUGGUCUGUGAUGUACAGUACUUUGACUGCCCAGCCUGGUCUGUGAUGUACAGUACUUUGACUGCCCAGCCUGGUCUGUGAUGUACAGUGCUUUGACUGCCCAGCCUGGUCUGUGAUGUACAGUACUUUGACUGCCCAGCCUGGUCUGUGAUGUACAGUACUUUGACUGCCCAGCCUGGUCUGUGAUGUACAGUGCUUUGACUGCCCAGCCUGGUCUGUGAUGUACAGUACUUUGACUGCCCAGCCUGGUCUGUGAUAUACAGUACUUUGACUGCCCAGCCUGGUCUGUGAUGUACAGUGCUUUGACUGCCCAGCCUGGUCUGUGAUGUACAGUACUUUGACUGCCCAGCCUGGUCUGUGAUGUACAGUACUUUGACUGCCCAGCCUGGUCUGUGAUGUACAGUACUUUGACUGCCCAGCCUGGUCUGUGAUGUACAGUACUUUGACUGCCCAGCCUGGUCUGUGAUGUACAGUACUUUGACUGCCCAGCCUGGUCUGUGAUGUACAGUACUUUGACUGCCCAGCCUGGUCUGUGAUGUACAGUACUUUGACUGCCUAGUCUGGUCUGUGAUGUACAGUGCUUUGACUGCCCAGUCUGGUCUGUGAUGUACAGUGCUUUGACUGCCCAGCCUGGUCUGUG